AUGAACGCUGGCGGCGUGCCUAAUACAUGCAAGUCGAGCGGACGGACGAGAAGCUUGCUUCUCUGAUGUUAGCGGCGGACGGGUGAGUAACACGUGGAUAACCUACCUAUAAGACUGGGAUAACUUCGGGAAACGGGGGUUAAUACGGGAUAAAAUUUUGACCGGAAGGGUUACAAAUGAAAAGAGGUUUUUGUGUCUACUAUAGAUGGAUCCGCGCCGCAUUAGCUAGUUGGUAAGGUAACGGCUUACCAAGGCAACGAUGCAUAGCCGACCUGAGAGGGUGAUCGGCCACACUGGAACUGAGACACGGUCCAGACUCCUACGGGAGGCAGCAGUAGGGAAUCUUCCGCAAUGGGCGAAAGCCUGACGGAGCAACGCCGCGUGAGUGAUGAAGGUCUUCGGAUCGUAAAACUCUGUUAUUAGGGAAGAACAUAUGUGUAAGUAACUGUGCACAUCUUGACGGUACCUAAUCAGAAAGCCACGGCUAACUACGUG
rnacentral:rRNA from 1 species